rnacentral:lncRNA from 1 species
UGGGAGGUGAGGCCUGAGCAGUCAUGGCAUUGGCAGAUGGUGCCUGGCAGCCUGGUCCUACUGAAGCAGUUUGGGCACUUCCACCUGUAGGGGCAAAGUAGAGACAGGUUAGAGAAGGGAGCUCAGCCACCUCACCUCCCUCCCUACUGGAAGGACACACAAGACACUGCAAUAUGUUAUGUCUGUGGAAUGUGAAUGAGGUGUUGACACUGAGGGAGCAUUUUUCAUUGUCUGUAAAAAUUGGAUGUCAUUGAGUGACCACUGGAAUUACAAUUGAGAUUUUCCUUUAUCUCAUGAUACCUUGUCCCAGAUGAUGUUGUGGGGGUUGGGUAUCCAACCAAAUGGACAAACGAUCGUGGACUUUGUCACCCAGGCCAGACUUCCAGGGGAGGCAGGGCUUGGAGAAGUAGGGUGUCCAGGGAUGGCUCCUGUGUCCAUGGCACUGGCUAGGCAAAGGUAGACUCUCCUGAGAGGUGAAUCUCCCAGAGACCUUUCGGAUGGACUGACCUGUAGGACUUGGCUGGUCCUGAGAGGAGGCUAAGUAAAACGUGGAUCAUUUUUGUUUGGGGAAAUGGAGAAGACUUAAAGGAAGGACCCGAGGCAAAACUACUCUGUAGAGGCCAUUUCUCCAUUUUAAGGAGAAACAGGCUUCAUUGCAGAAUGAAAGAGAAGCAUGGAGUGAGGUAUUAAAGGAAGCUCCUUAAAGGAAGGGUAGAGUCUCAGCUCUAGGGGAUAUACAGGUG